GAUGAACGCUAGCGGCAGGCUUAAUACAUGCAAGUUGAGGGGCAGCAUGAUAUACGCGAGUAUAUUGAUGGCGACCGGCGGACGGGUGAGUAAUAGGUAGGAGACCUACCUCAUACAGGGGGAUAGCAUAGAGAAAUCUGUGGUAAUACCCCAUGAGGUUAUAUGAAUAGAGGCAUAUAAUCAAAGCAUAAGCGAUUAUGCGGUAUGAGAGGGGCCUACUGACCAUUAGCUAGUUGGUGAGGUAAGGGCUCACCAAGGCGAAGAUGGUUAGGGGUUUUGAGAGAGAGACCCCCCACAUUGGAACUGAGAGACGGUCCAGACUCCUACGGGAGGCAGCAGUAGGGAAUAUUGGGCAAUGGGCGAAAGCCUGACCCAGCCAUGCCGCGUGAAGGAAGACGGCCUUAUGGGUUGUAAACUUCUUUACUACGCGAAUAGAGGUUAGUACGAGAUACUAAUAGGAAGGUAGUGUAGUAAAAAGCACCGGCUAACUCCGUACG
rnacentral:rRNA from 1 species